rnacentral:rRNA from 1 species
GACGAACGCUGGCGGCGUGCCUAAUACAUGCAAGUAGAACGCACAGUUUAUACCGUAGCUUGCUACACCAUAGACUGUGAGUUGCGAACGGGUGAGUAACGCGUAGGUAACCUGCCUGGUAGCGGGGGAUAACUAUUGGAAACGAUAGCUAAUACCGCAUAAUAUUAAUUAUUGCAUGAUAAUUAAUUGAAAGGUGCAAUUGCACCACUACCAGAUGGACCUGCGUUGUAUUAGCUAGUAGGUGAGGUAACGGCUCUCCUAGGCGACGAUACAUAGCCGACCUGAGAGGGUGAUCGGCCACACUGGGACUGAGACACGGCCCAGACUCCUACGGGAGGCAGCAGUAGGGAAUCUUCGGCAAUGGACGAAAGUCUGACCGAGCAACGCCGCGUGAGUGAAGAAGGUUUUCGGAUCGUAAAGCUCUGUUGUAAGAGAAGAACGGGUGUGAGAGUGGAAAGUUCACACUGUGACGGUAUCUUACCAGAAAGGGACGGCUAACUACGUG